GACGAACGCUGGCGGCGUGCUUAACACAUGCAAGUCGAACGGAAAGGCCCUGCUUUUGUGGGGUGCUCGAGUGGCGAACGGGUGAGUAACACGUGAGUAACCUGCCCUUGACUUUGGGAUAACUUCAGGAAACUGGGGCUAAUACCGGAUAUGAGCUCCUGCUGCAUGGUGGGGGUUGGAAAGUUUCGGCGGUUGGGGAUGGACUCGCGGCUUAUCAGCUUGUUGGUGGGGUAGUGGCUUACCAAGGCUUUGACGGGUAGCCGGCCUGAGAGGGUGUCCGGCCACAUUGGGACUGAGAUACGGCCCAGACUCCUACGGGAGGCAGCAGUGGGGAAUAUUGCACAAUGGGCGGAAGCCUGAUGCAGCAACGCCGCGUGCGGGAUGACGGCCUUCGGGUUGUAAACCGCUUUCGCCUGUGACGAAGCGUGAGUGACGGUAAUGGGUAAAGAAGCACCGGCUAACUACGUG
rnacentral:rRNA from 1 species